GACGAACGCUGGCGGCGUGCCUAAUACAUGCAAGUCGAACGCUUCUUUCCUCCCGAUUGCUUGCACUCAAUUGGAAAGAGGAGUGGCGGACGGGUGAGUAACACGUGGUUAACCUACCCAUUAGAGUGGGAUAACACUUGGAAACAGGUGCUAAUACCUCAUAACAGUUUAUGCCGCAUGGCAUGAGAGUGAAAGGCUCUUUCGGGUGUCGCUGAUGGAUGGACUCGCGGUGCAUUAGCUAGUUGGUGAGGUAACGGCUCACCAAGGCAACGAUGCAUAGCCGACCUGAGAGGGUGAUCGGCCACACUGGAACUGAGACACGGCCCAGACUCCUACGGGAGGCAGCAGUAGGGAAUCUUCGGCAAUGGACGAAAGUCUGACCGAGCAACGCCGCGUGAGUGAAGAAGGUUUUCGGAUCGUAAAACUCUGUUAUUAGAGAAGAACAAGGACGUAAGUAACUGAACGUCCCCUGACGGUACCUAACCAGAAAGCCACGGCUAACUACGUG
rnacentral:rRNA from 1 species